CCCAGCUCUCUUCAGGACAUUGACCAGUCUCCCCAUGUAGUUCUGGGCUGUUUCCUCACCGUUCAAGAUAAUUUGUGUUCCAUCAGACUGGCAACCCAUCCAAGAUGUACCCCGCCCUCGGAAACAGUGACAGGAUAGGCUCCAGCAGCCUAAGACCACUGGGGCAUUCAGCGGGUUCAGGAACUGGACGGAUAAUGUUGAUGACAGCUGAUCUCUGAAGAAAACAGGACUCGUAUGUACUGAACUAACCAUUUAAAGUGAUGUAAAGUAUGUCAUGUGGAUUAUUUGGAUUUGUGAUGAUAUCUGAAUGAACAGUUUCAUAAAACUUGACAGUUUAGAUUCCGUCUUAGUCUUGGGAAAGUAACAUUAUAGUAUAGAGCAUUCGUUCAUGUUCUGAGUUUGGAGCAGCUCUAGUGAACACAUGUAAAGAAAUCUACUCUGGUGAAUUCAUACAACUAGAUGAAUACCGCUAAAGGACAACCAGUGUUUACUGGGAAAAUAACAAAUAUAUGAGCCUAUUUAUGUCUACAAAAACAAACAAAUAAGUCACUCCUGAGUAUAAGUUGCACCGCUGGCUAAACUAUGAAAAAAACUGCGACUUAUAGUCCGGAAAAUACGAUAUGUAAUAAAAAUGCAAAUAUAAUUGUCAAUGAUUACAACAUUGUUUAUUACAGUAACAUUUCUAGUAGAAAGGUGGUCAUCAUCCAACAGACUCUAGUCUAGCAACUCAGCAGUCAAGUUGAUCAAUCUACUUAAAAAAAAAAAUGAAAAAAAAAAAA